GUGAACAAAAAUUUGUUGUUAUUAUAUUGCAAUAUUGCUGUCCAUUGUCAUGAUUGUAUUAUACAUUGAAUCCUGACAUAAAAAAUAUGGCUGAUUUACUAUGCGGGUAUAUAGAUUUACAAAUUAAAGUGCACAUAUGGUCAGUUUUGGUGGAUGCGGUCAAAUAAUUUUGUUGUACAAGUCAGCUGGAGGUAUCAAAACUACUGAAAUUUUGUUACGUAUCAAUAUUUUGAAUAAAAUGAGGACAUGCUGGUAUCCUAAAUUUAUGCGAACAAAAAUUUGUUGUUAUUAUAUUGCAAUAUUGCUGUCCAUUGUCAUGAUUGUAUUAUACAUUGAAUCCUGACAUAAAAAAUAUGGCUGAUUUACUAUGCGGGUAUAUAGAUUUACAAAUUAAAGUGCACAUAUGGUCAGUUUUGGUGGAUGCGGUCAAAUAAUUUU
rnacentral:lncRNA from 1 species